rnacentral:tRNA from 1 species
GCCCACAUAGCUCAGGCGGUAGAGCACCUCCUUGGUAAGGAGGAGGUCAUCGGUUCAAGUCCGAUUGUGGGCU